rnacentral:rRNA from 1 species
UUGAAAGGGAAACGAUUGAAGUCAGUCGUACCAGCGGGAAAUCAACCUUUCGAGUGGGGGUUUUGGAGUUUUGAAGAGUGUCAAAACCUUUGAGAUUUCAAAAUAUUCGCCCUUUUGGUGUACUUUCUCGUGGGUAGGUUAACAUCGAUUUUGAUCAUCAUAAAAAGAUUGGAGGAAUGUAGCUUCGAUCUUGUAUUGAAGUGUUAUAGCCUUUGGUAAAUGUGAUGAUUAGGAUCGAGGAUUGCAACGAAUACCCUUUUGGGCUAUCCGCCUGAUCUCUGAUACGUGGCCUUGGUAUCGAAAGCUUGCUUAUGGUAUUAAGGUAUUACGGUCAAAAGGUUAGAACGGAUUCUUCGUUAAGGAUGUUGACGUA